rnacentral:rRNA from 1 species
UACGUAGGGUGCAAGCGUUGUCCGGAAUUAUUGGGCGUAAAGAGCUCGUAGGCGGCCUGCUAAGUCGAACGUGAAAUCCCCGGGCUCAACCCGGGAACUGCGUCCGAUACUGGUGGGCUUGAAUCCGGGAGAGGGAUGUGGAAUUCCAGGUGUAGCGGUGAAAUGCGUAGAUAUCUGGAGGAACACCGGUGGCGAAGGCGGCAUCCUGGACCGGUAUUGACGCUGAGGCGCGAAAGCUAGGGGAGCAAACGGG